UGGUAGUCCACGCCGUAAACGAUGUCUACUCGGAGUUUGGUUCCUUGAGAACUGGGCUCUUAAGCUAAUGCAUUAAGUAGACCGCCUGGGGAGUACGGCCGCAAGGUUAAAACUCAAAUGAAUUGACGGGGGCCCGCACAAGCGGUGGAGCAUGUGGUUUAAUUCGAUGCAACGCGAAGAACCUUACCUACUCUUGACAUCCAUAGAACUUUCCAGAGAUGGAUUGGUGCCUUCGGGAACUAUGAGACAGGUGCUGCAUGGCUGUCGUCAGCUCGUGUUGUGAAAUGUUGGGUUAAGUCCCGCAACGAGCGCAACCCUUAUCCUUAUUUGCCAGCACGUAAUGGUGGAACUCUAAGGGGACUGCCGGUGAUAAACCGGGAAGUGGGACGACGUCAAGUCAUCAUGGCCCUUACGAGUAGGGCUACACACGUGCUACAAUGGGCGCAUACAAAAGGGGCUGCAAACCAGCGAUGGGUAAAGCGAAAUCCCAUAAAAGUGACGUCGUAGUCCGGAUUGGGGGUCU
rnacentral:rRNA from 1 species